UACAGGGGGGGCAAGCGUUGCUCGGAAUUACUGGGCGUAAAGGGCCAGUAGGCGGCCAACUAAGUCCGACGUGAAAUCCCUAGGCUUAACCUAGGAACUGCGUCGGAUACUGGAUGGCUUGAAUUCGGGAGAGGGAUGCAGAAUUCCAGGUGUAGCGGUGAAAUGCGUAGAUAUCUGGAGGAAUACCGGUGGCGAAGGCGGCAUCCUGGACCGACAUUGACGCUGAACGGCGAAAGCUAGGGGAGCAAACGGG
rnacentral:rRNA from 1 species